rnacentral:rRNA from 5 species
GACCUGAGCUCAGGCAAGAUUACCCGCUGAACUUAAGC